rnacentral:rRNA from 1 species
GACGAACGCUGGCGGCGUGCCUAACACAUGCAAGUCUGGGAGAACAAGGUAGCAAUAUCUUGGGAUACCGGCGCACGGGUGAGUAAUACGUAGGUAAUCUACCUUUUGGUUUGGGAUAACCCCGCGAAAGCGGGGCUAAUACCGAAUGAUGCAGCGGCUCCACAUGGAGAUGUUGUUAAACCCCGUAAGGGGGCCAAUAGAUGAGCCUGCGACCCAUUAGAUAGUUGGCGGGGUAACGGCCCACCAAGUCUGCGAUGGGUAGCUGAUCUGAGAGGAUGAUCAGCCACACUGGAACUGAGACACGGUCCAGACACCUACGGGUGGCAG